AUCCGCCUUCUGAUUUGUAUUUGACGCCCCAUUCUUGUGGAGAGCCUUGUGGGAAGCCACUCAAUCGAGAGAUUAUAGGUUCUGGUGAGAGUAAUGAGGAUUUUUGCCCCCAUGUCUGUGUCUUGCAAUGCCACCCAGGUCCAUGCCCUCCGUGUAAGGCUUUUGCACCGCCUCGGUUGUGCCCUUGUCGGAAGAAAAUAAUUACAACACGAUGCUCUGAUCGGAAAUCUGUUCUUACUUGUGGUCAGCGUUGUGAUAAACUCCUCGAAUGUGGGCGUCACCGUUGUGAGCGCAUGUGCCAUGUUGGUGCUUGUGAUCCUUGUCAGGUUCUGGUCAAUGCCUCUUGCUUUUGCAAGAACACGGUGGAGGUUGUUCUUUGUGGGUCCAUGGCUGUGAAGGGAGAACUAAAAUCAGAGGAUGGUGUUUUCUCAUGUCGUUGGAUCUGUGGAAAGAAGCUUUUCUGUGGAAAUCACGAUUGUGAUGAAAUUUGCCAUCCAGGGCCAUGUGGGGAUUGCAACUUAAUGCCAAGCAGGAUUAGGACAUGCUAUUGCGGUAAAACAUCAUUGCAGGAGGAACGGCGUAGCUGUUUGGACCCAAUUCCAACCUGUCUUCAGAUCUGUGGCAAGCCCCUCCCUUGUGGAAUGCACUUCUGUAAGGACACAUGCCAUGCUGGGGAUUGUGCACCAUGUUUGGUGCUUGUCAAUCAAAAAUGCCGUUGUGGAUCAACAUCUCGAACUGUAGAAUGCUACAAAACCACGGCAGAGGAGAAAUUUACCUGUGAGAAACCUUGUGGGCGGAAGAAGAACUGUGGAAGGCACCGUUGUAGUGAACGGUGCUGUCCUCUCUCUAAUUCUGGCAAUGUUCUCUUUGGUGAUUGGGAUCCGCACUUAUGUUCAAUGACAUGUGGAAAGAAACUAAGGUGUGGACAGCACUCUUGUGAAAAUCUUUGCCACAGUGGCCAUUGCCCUCCUUGCCUUGAAACAAUCUUUACUGAUUUAACAUGUGCAUGUGGGAGAACUUCAAUCGCUCCUCCAUUGCCUUGUGGUACCCCCACUCCAUCAUGUCAGCACCCAUGCUCAGUUCCUCAGCCAUGUG
rnacentral:lncRNA from 1 species